UGGCGACCGGCGCACGGGUGAGUAACACGUAUGCAACCUGGCCGCCACAGGGGGAUAACCCGCGGAAACGCGGCCUAAUACCCCGUGACGCCACCGGAGGGCAUCCUCCGGUGGCCAAAGGAGCGAUCCGGUGGCGGAUGGGCAUGCGGCGCAUUAGCUAGACGGCGGGGUGACGGCCCACCGUGGCGACGAUGCGUAGGGGUUCUGAGAGGAAGGCCCCCCACACUGGGACUGAGACACGGCCCAGACUCCUACGGGAGGCAGCAG
rnacentral:rRNA from 1 species